GUUUCUUCUCCCCACAAAUGAAAGAGAAAUAGUAAAUUCUCCUGGGGGUGGCGAAUCAGGUGGGAAGGUGGAGCCAACACUCUUUGCAAACUGUCUCGGGAGCCAGGGGUUGGUAGCUGGGAAGACUGUUCGGUGGUGACCCUGGGGGAGGGAAGGGGACGGGGAUCGGGGAACCGGGGCAGCCCCGGGGGAGGAAUGGGAGAGGGAGGAGGACGCCAGGGCACUGGGACAGCCUCCGGGGCGGGGCGCGGUGCCGUCCGAGCCCGAGGAUGGAGGCUGAGACCGCCAGUUGAGUCACAGGUUUUGGCAGAGUUCAAAGACCGGGAAGCAAAGUUCAGCCAUGUUGGGCCUUUGGGCUCAUAGAUGAGGAAGGGUACCCCAAUAUGAGGGCUCAGCAAAUUCUGGAACUUAUCAGUUCUGAAGACCUUUAGAGGAGGAGGCGGCAAGU
rnacentral:lncRNA from 1 species